rnacentral:lncRNA from 1 species
CUUUGGGGCCAUACUAGAUGGUCACUCCAAGUUUAAACUGACUUUGGGAUAAGCUCCUUGUGCCAACUACAGACCUGUGUGUCACAGGGAAUGAGAGCUGAGGGCAAAGGAGGGAGCAGCACAGUGGUCUGGGGUUUGUUUAAUGUGUCUGUCCAUGUUGGAUAAGCUUGUGCCUGGUGCAGUCCAUGAUGGCUGCUUUGAGGCCUGAAGACCCUUCUAGAGCCAUCCCCUGAGUCAUCAAACUCUACCUUUCUGCCAAAAAAAGCUUUUGUAUCAUAUCCACAGCCAUUAAUCUGCAGUGGGAGAAGCCUCCAGUGCCUCCCCAUGAUGGAUUUUCUUCUGAGAAUUUCUGUGAAUCUGCUCCCCUUGCCACAGAAUUAAUCACACUCAGAAAACAGUCCUGCCUUUGCUAGAGAGAAUGUGCUGAAAUACAGUAAAUUCCAUGAGAAAAUAUAAUGUCUGAUAUAGGGAAACUCUAAGGAGACAACUUGAAUGAGCAAAAUU